GGGUUGUGAUGCAUUCAAGUCCAAGGCAAGGGAAGCACGAGGCAUCAGCCCAGAAGGGCAUGCGAUGCAUCAGGUACUCGAGUUUGUACCCACUCGGUUUCUCCAGCAGCCAAGACACCGGACUGGGACUUGGGAGGCGCAAGCUCCGAUUGCAGCUCUGCCAACAACACGCUGGCUGACUUGGUGCACAUCAUCUCUCUUCCAGUGCCUCAGUUUCCCCACCUACAAGCCACAGCCCCUCCGCUAUGGGCUUGUGAUGUGAUAGACAACAUAAAGCAUCCCACCAAACAGCAUCAAUAGCAGUUACAUUACAGCUGAAGCAGGUUGCAGGCAUGAUGCCUUGCCGAAAUCCUGCUGGAUCCCAGGACGCCUAGCGAGAUCUGGGAUCCUCCCCUGCGGGCGAAGAGCUGGCAGGGCAAGGGUUGUGUUUCACAAUCUUGGAGACUCACAAGAUGUGGUGACCUCAGAACCGUGCCUAUCUGUAAAGAGCACCGAGGCUUGGCGCCCGUCCAGGCACUAAAGGGCAAGUCCCAGACAGCUCUGUGCAAAUCAUGGCAGGCGGGCCAGAUCCCCUUACAGGCUGUGCAGCUAGUUCAGCGUGGCAUUCAACUAGCAGCACAGGCCGGGGUACAACUGCUGGCAGGUUCCUCGGAGCAAGCCCAUUCAGGCUCCCUUCACUGCCUCCCCGGUUAUUACCGAUAUCCUUUGGAAGCAGAGACAAAGUUAAAGCACGUGCAUUGAAGUUGCUGCUCUGAAGCUCGUAUCCAGCAAUGCAAUAAGCAGCCCAACCCUCUCCAGCCAC